rnacentral:rRNA from 1 species
AACGAACGCUGGCGGCAGGCUUAACACAUGCAAGUCGAGCGCCCCGCAAGGGGAGCGGCCGACGGGUGAGUAACGCGUGGGAACGUACCUUUUGGUUCGGAACAACUCCGGGAAACUGGAGCUAAUACCGGAUAAGCCCUAACGGGGAAAGAUUUAUCGCCGAAAGAUCGGCCCGCGUCUGAUUAGCUAGUUGGUGAGGUAACGGCUCACCAAGGCGACGAUCAGUAGCUGGUCUGAGAGGAUGAUCAGCCACACUGGGACUGAGACACGGCCCAGACUCCUACGGGAGGCAGCAGUGGGGAAUAUUGGACAAUGGGCGCAAGCCUGAUCCAGCCAUGCCGCGUGAGUGAUGAGGGCCUUAGGGUUGUAAAGCUCUUUUGUCCGGGAAGAUAAUGACUGUACCGGAAGAAUAAGCCCCGGCUAACUUCGUG